UACGUAGGGUGCGAGCGUUGUCCGGAAUUAUUGGGCGUAAAGAGCUCGUAGGCGGUUUGUCGCGUCUGCCGUGAAAGUCCGGGGCUCAACUCCGGAUCUGCGGUGGGUACGGGCAGACUAGAGUGAUGUAGGGGAGACUGGAAUUCCUGGUGUAGCGGUGAAAUGCGCAGAGAUCAGGAGGAACACCGGUGGCGAAGGCGGUUCUCUGGGCAUUACCUGACGCUGAGGAGCGAAAGUGUGGGGAGCGAACAGG
rnacentral:rRNA from 1 species